UUCCAACCUGUCCCUGUGUGGAGACAUUGUACAGGUUGAUAAACGGGACUUGGCCAUAUUGAAUGGGUAGAAGAAAUUCAGCUAAAAACCGAACUUUGGAAAGCACGUGGUUGGAACAAGAUGGCGAUGGCGAGCUGCCCACGGACCUUCUGAAAGAUACGCAGGAGAAAUACUUCUCUUGCUGAACGCUGCAUGGUUUGCAUCUGAACUGGUAGGAUUUACCCAACUUUCUGCAAAGCUACUGCAACGGACUCAGGAACAUUGAACUGCUAAUUAAAAGAGCAACGAGUAGAAAAAAAAAAGGACUUUUAUUCUGCAAUAUCCAGAAUUGUUCAGCCUUUUGCUGAAUCGAUUUGAGUUGUAAUUUUGUAUUUUAUUUUCAGACCAUAAACGAAUAUUGUAAAAGGGUAUUUUACAAUGUAAAUGUUUUUGGUUGGGAACAACAGAACAAAGUUCUCUUUAAACUGUAAAAUAACUUGAAAUAACUUGAACCAAAAUAAUUGAAACUAAAUGUGAACUGAACUAAAGAGUUAACUCGAAACCGUGAUAGAACUGAUUUGAAUUAAACUAAAAGGUUGCAACCUGAGAACAAAAACCUGAGAACAAAACCUGUUAAACAAAACCUGAUAAGCGAAAUCUGGUAUAACUAAAAUAUAUCCGGAAAAAGGAAAUAAGGGUUUUGGAACUUAACUACUUAAACAAAGAAGGUUAAGAUAAUUGGAGUUUAUGUUAACGUUGUCUAUGUCCAUGUCAUGCUAUUUUCAUAUUUUGUGUCCAAAUUUCAAUAAUAAGCCGGCAAAUCAUUUAAACUUA